rnacentral:lncRNA from 10 species
GCAACAAACCUGCUGGUGCCUUCAUCUUGGACUUCCCAGCCUUCGGAACUGUUAAGAAGCUCCACUGCGCUUUGUCCAUUGCAAGUUGAGAAGUGAGGCCCCAGCUGUCACAUACAGUGAGUGAAGAAGCUGAGCUUCCCUCAACGCCUGGGCCUGUAUGAAUUUUUUUUUUUUUUUUUUUUUUGGAGACGGAGUCUCACUUUGUUGCCCAGGCUGGAGUGCAAUGGCACUAUCUCAGGCCACUGCAACCUCUGCCUCCCAGGUUCAAGCGAUUCUUCUGCCUCAGCCUCCUGAGUAGCUGGGAUUACAGAAGUGCACCAUUACAGCUUGCUAAUUUUUGUAUUUUUAGUAGAGAAGGGUUUUCACCAUGUUGGCCAGGUUGGUCUCGAACUCUUGGCCUCAGGUGAUCCGCCCGCACAGCCUCCCAAAGUGUUGGGAUUACAGGCGUGAGCCACUGCGCCCGGCCUUAGUAGAGACGGGGUUUCUCCAUGUUGAGGCUGGUCUCAAACUCCUGACCUCAGGUGAUUCACCCGCCUCGGCCUCCCAAACUGCUGGGAUUAUAGGCAUAAGCCACCGCGCCCGGCCUUAGGCAGUGGUGGCUGAGAGGAAGAACUGACACCUUUGUGCUAUCAGAGCACUUUGCAGAGGAGCUGUUAGUGGCCCUGUAGGAGUCUGCUGGCCAUACAUCUGGGUGUCAAAUCAAGAGAGCAUGAGAAGUUGGACAGGAAAGGUCCAAGGCAAAAUGGUUACUAAAGGCCAUCCCUGAUCCUGACCCUAAAAGAAGAAAAGGCCCUUUGCUCUUGGCAUGCUUUUGCAGGAGUGUCUCAGUCUGUUUGGGCUGCUAUAACAUUGACUGGGUGAUCUGCCUGCCUGGCCUCCCAAAGUGCUGGGGUUACAGGUGUGAGCCGCUGCACCAGGCCUUGAGGUCAGGAGUUCGAGACCAGCCUGGCCAACAUGGUGAAACCUGUCUUUACUAAAAAUACAGAAAUUAGCCAGGCAUGGAGGCGCAUGCCUGUAAUCCCAGCUACUGGGGAGGCUGAGGCAGGAGAAUCGCUUGAACCCAGAAGGUGGAGGUUGCGGUGAGCCCAGAUAGUGCCAUUGCACUCUAGCCUGGCCAACAAGAGUGAAACUCUGUCUCAAAAAAUAAAUAAACAAAC